GAAUGCCGCCGGCUUGCAUGGAAGUUUGGACUGCAGCUAACUGAGAACCGAGAACUGAGCGCCGACAGAACUGGGCUCUGUUCGGACCUCAAAAAAUAGACGCCGCUCAUAUUUAAACUGUGCGAAACUUUAAACAAUUUCACCAAAAGAGCGAAAACUAUUCGGUUGUCCUGUGGCUGCCGCUUUUCCGGCUCUGCCAUUGUUUCACUUUGAGCCGUGCUGUCCCCGCCCUCUGUGUACUACUCCAUUUUGUAUGCUUCCUUAUAUCAACAAUUAUUUGAAACUUUUACCGCAAAUAUUUCCUUGGCUGGUUUUACGCCUGAAAUAAAUUGUAAUAGCAGUUGCCUGGUUAACAGCUCGUAUGACUGGCGGCGACUUUGCGGCGGCGGCAGCCUCGGCUGCCCACUGGCUGCCAAUUUCUUGGGCAGCCCAGCCCAGCCCAGCCCGGCUCGGCUCGGCGCAGUUCUGGUCUGGCACAAGCUAAUCCUUUUGAUUUUCAACUGCACAAAUUCCAGCUAACAACAAUUUAUGUGCCCAGCCCCUGCCCUGACUGGCAACAGUUGCUGCGGCAACAGCCAUGCCGAGCAGUCAAUAACCAGGCUUGACUGUAGCCAUUGUUUGGACUGUGUGUCUGUGUGUCUGUGAGUGUGUUUGUGUGUGUGUGUGCUUGCCACAAAGCACAUUGGCUCGUGGAAUUUGCAACGUUUACGCUGGAGCAUUUGCGCUGGCGGGCAACCAGACCAAGUGCCAGCACCCACUUUCAUCUAGUAUCAAAGUGAAUUUUGUGGCCAUGGGAAUUAUGAGGCAAAAAGUCGAAUACGCCAGGCUAUAGCCAAAUGUAAUCAGAAUCAGGCGCAAUCAUGUCUAUGACCGCGCCCACUUCUAUUCCCGUUUAUCCCAGAGCGUUUAUUGGAAAUUAAUUUAUACGUUUCGGCCGUUUCGAGUAUUUCGCUUUUUGGCUCAAAAUCCAAAUGAGUGGGAACUCCCCUUUGCCAAAAUGUUCCGAAUGGGUUUUUAUUUUCUUUUUAACUGCUGCAAAUCGAAGCCCAAACUGAAUUUGACUAUGCGGCUCAAAUGCAUUCCCAGACACUUCCCAGAACACACACACCUCAAUUGACCGGGUUUUUUUGCAGCCCGUGAUAAGAGCGAGAGCUCGGGCAAAGCCCGCACGUCGCGAGCUGCUGCGAUUGCUGCCGCUUUUGCGACUAUAAAAGCAGCUGCCGGAGCUUGUUCAAGAUCAGAGUUGAAGAGACAACGCUUUAGCACAAAACCAAUUAAAACAAUCAACAUGCAAUUGAUCAAGAUCUGCGGCUUUGUUUUUGCCAUGAUUGUGGCCCUGGCCAGCGCCGAGCCAGAACCUCAAGGCACGCUGCUGAUACAAACCAACAAUGCUCAGGGCAUUUUCACGGGCUAGAAAUGUUACAAAGAACACAAACAUACCUUAAAAAUAUCUUUUGAUCUAACUUAAACACAAACUUUCCUUAAAAAAUGACAUUAAAAACUCUUAAAACUUAUCUGAAUGCAAUUAUUUCAAUUAUUCUACACUUAAACUUAACGCUAAAGUCUAAACAUGGUUGGGUAGAGAAUUGUUUCGUAUAGUUCUGAACAGCGGAAAGUCGCCAGUUCAAACCCAGCAAGAGAUCCCCUUUAAGACGUAAUAACAUCUGAGCAUCGACUGAAGAGAAGAGAGCCAGAGCACCAAAUGUUUAAUAAGAAAUAUUCCAACUAAAUUUAAUUUCUAAGCAGCGGACUAGCAAACGGAAUGUCGCCAGCUCAAAUCUAGCAACAAUUUUCGAAUUUCAAUCAACUAUGUGUAAUUUCUUUCUUUGAUGUCUUCUAUGAGAAAAGGGUACAAUAAACGCUGAAUCACAACUGAA